UACGAACCGUGCGAACGUUGUUCGGAUUCACUGGGCUUAAAGGGCGCGUAGGCGGGCGGUCAAGUCGGGGGUGAAAUCUUUCAGCUUAACUGGAAAAGUGCCUCCGAUACUGAUCGUCUUGAGGGAGGUAGGGGCAUGUGGAACUUCCGGUGGAGCGGUGAAAUGCGUAGAUAUCGGAAGGAACGCCGGUGGCGAAAGCGACGUGCUGGACCUCUUCUGACGCUGAGGCGCGAAAGCUAGGGGAGCAAACGGG
rnacentral:rRNA from 1 species